rnacentral:rRNA from 1 species
AUUGAACGCUGGCGGCAGGCCUAACACAUGCAAGUCGAACGAGUGGCGGACGGGUGAGUAAUGUCUGGGAAACUGCCCGAUGGAGGGGGAUAACUACUGGAAACGGUAGCUAAUACCGCAUACCAUCGGAUGUGCCCAGAUGGGAUUAGCUAGUAGGUGGGGUAACGGCUCACCUAGGCGACGAUCCCUAGCUGGUCUGAGAGGAUGACCAGCCACACUGGAACUGAGACACGGUCCAGACUCCUACGGGAGGCAGCAGUGGGGAAUAUUGCACAAUGGGCGCAAGCCUGAUCCAGCCAUGCCGCGUGUGUGAAGAAGGUCUUCGGGUUGUAAAGCACUUUAAGUGGGGAGGCGUUACUAACAGAAUAAGCACCGGCUAACUUCGUGCCAGCAGCCGCGGUAAUAC